rnacentral:rRNA from 1 species
CAAUAGCGUAUAUUAAAGUUGUUGCAGUUAAAAAGCUCGUAGUUGGAUUUCUGGUGGGAGCGAUCGGUCUGGCGCUUAGCGCGAGUACUUGCAUCGUCUCCGGCCAUCCUUGGGGAAAGUCUGUCUGGCAUUAAGUUGUCGGGCAGAGGAUCCUCAUCGUUUACUGUGAAAAAAUUAGAGUGUUCAAAGCAGGCUUAUGCCGUUGAAUAUAUUAGCAUGGAAUAAUGAGAUAGGACUUUGGUACUAUUUUGUUGGUUUGCGCACCAAAGUAAUGAUUAAUAGGGACAGUUGGGGGUAUUCGUAUUCCGUUGUCAGAGGUGAAAUUCUUGGAUUUACGGAAGACGAACUACUGCGAAAGCAUUUACCAAGGAUGUUUUCAUUAA